GAGGGUAUAGCUCAGUGGUAGAGUGCAUGCUUAGCAUGCAUGAGGUCCUGGGUUCAAGCCCCGGUACCUUAU
rnacentral:tRNA from 1 species